UUUCUUCCCUUUAAUCUUAAGGGACAGCUGGGUAGCUCAGCGGGUUGAGAGCCAGCCCUAGAGGCAGAAGGUCCUGGGUUCAAAUUGGACCUCAGAUACUUCCCAGCUGUGUGACUCUGAUAGACAGAAAACAGCUGUUUUAAAUCUCAGCAACAGGACUCUAAACUCCUGGCUGGAAGAGCUGUUUCUAAAUAUCCUUUCCCUUAAGGAACAACUUCCUGGAUUAGAAAAAAAAAACCCUGUGGAAAGUUUGUUGCUUUGCCCUGCUCCCCACGUGUUUUGUGAAAUUACAAAAUAUACAUAUAAAAAUGAGUACUACAUUCUUUGACAAUUAUAUGGCAGCUGAAGAAGUAGGGGCAUUGGGGAAUGCAGGAUACCUCCAAAUUUUUAUAUUAAUAGGUACUCUCAUUUUUGUAAUCCUCAAUACUAUAUUUAGAGAUGAUAAAAUAAGAAAAAUUGAGGAUAAAAUGCAAGCCCAAUUAGAAGAUCUAAAAAGUUUCUUACAGGAUCAAUUGGCAAACAACCACUCUACCAGAAACAGACCUGUUUCUGAACCUUUGAAUGAGGAAAUUUCCUUCCCUGAAAUAGAGAUGGAAAACACCUUCCCUAUAGCCCAGUUAACAGACUGCUUCUCUCGUGUAGUACAAAUCUUGUCUGAAUUUAAUCCCCAAAACCCUUCCCCUGCAAUCCCAGCUUCUCAUGUUCCUUCUCCUACAGAAAACCAAAUUCCAAUGCAAGGGAGAUCUUGUCCUCCUAGAAAAACCUGUCCUUGUCAAACUGACCCACAGGUGCAAAAUUCAACUAGAGGCCUGUUUCCUCUAAGAGAAGUACCUGAAAUAGGACGGAAUGGGGAUGUGGUGACUUUAAGACAUAGGAUACCGUUUACUCCCCAAGAAAUAAAUGAAUUUACACAAAAUAUCCCCACAUAUGAACAAGAUCCUUUUCUAGUAACAAAAAAGAUGGGAGACAUAUUUUUUCAGUAUAAUCCGUCUUAUAAGGACGUUGAGAGCUUACUCCAGGCUUUUUUAAGUGAACGUGAAAAAAAUAAAAUAAUUACUCAUGUCAACAAAACCCGGGGGCAUAAUGCAGCACAUUGGCCAUCUCAGGAUCCCGAAUGGGACUAUAACAAUCCUGAGGAUUAUCUACAACUAUACCGUUGUAGAGAGGCCAUCCUCAUGGCUAUGAAGGAAUGUGCAGACAGUACAGAUAAGUGGAUGGAACUGGAAAAAAAUAAGCAAAAGGACGAAGAAACACCCUCCAGAUUUAUGGACAGAAUUAUCGAGUUUGGGGACAGAUACUUAGAUUGGGACUUAACUAAAGAGAGUAGUUUAAGACAAGUUAGGAGAAUCUUUGUAAACAAUUCUUGCAAAGCAAUUAAAAAUUAUUUUAAAACACAAUGCCCAAGAUGGUCAGAUAUGGACCUUGAAGAAUUGCGAAAAACAGCUAUAUAUGUUUUAAAGGGAAACAAAGAAAAGGAGAAAGAAAAUAAUGAUGACAUGGAGGAAAUGAAGAAAAAAAUGAGAUGUGUAAUAGAUAGGAUAACUAAAUUAGAAAGUGGACAUGAUAAUGAACCAACGACAAUUGCCCCUCUCCAGAAAUCCAAUUAUCAAUCCAUUACUUGCCAGUUCUGUGGGAAGAAUAUGAUGGAUUGUAGAACCUUUCUUAAGAUGUUUGGAAGGAAUACACAGUUUAAUAAUAGUUUUAGAAAUAAUAACUAUAGAAAUGAUGAUAAUGGUUAUAGAAACCAGAAUUCUAGAAAUUAUAAUAAUGACUAUGGAAAUAACUAUAAUGAAUAUAGAAAUAAGAACUUUAGAAACCAGAAUUAUAGAAAUAGGAAUUGGGAAUUUAAUGACAAUGUUCCAAUUAAAGAAAAUUAUAAUGAUAGUGAACAACAACAAUAUAUGAGAAAUGGAGCUCGUCCAAAAAAUACUCGAGGUACUAAUGACCCUCAGAGAGGUGCCCUUCAGGGGGGUGCCUAAGGAAUAUCCCAAACACAAUGAUGGUGUC
ensembl:lncRNA